rnacentral:rRNA from 1 species
AAAAGGUCCGGCCCGGCCCAAUGGUAUCAAGUCUAUGGGCGCGGUAUUUUAACCGGGCUAAGGUAGCGUAAUCACUUGUCCUUUAAAUGAAGACCCGUAUGAACGGCUAAACGAAGGCUUAACUGUCUCCUUUUCCUAAUCAAUGAAAUUGAUCCCCCCGUGCAAAAGCGGGGAUAAUAAUAUAAGAAGAGAAGACCCUGUGGAACUUCAAGAUAAUCUAUAAACCCGCUAAAAUUUUCCUUAUAAAGAACUCGAGCUAAAAGUACCUAUAAUACAUCUUCUAUUGGGGCGACAGCGGAACACACAAAACUCCCGCGAAGACGACGAAUACACAACUAACAUUCUUAAAACUUAGAACCCCCGUUCAAUACAAUAGAACCUCUAACUUUUACAGAUCCGACCCGUUGAUCAACGAACCAAGUUACCCCAAGGAUAACAGCUCACUCCCCUUACAGAGUCCCUAUCGACUAGGGGGUUUACGACCUCGAUGUUGGAUCAGGAUAUCCUAAUGGUGCAACCGUUAUUAAGGGUUCGUUUGUUCAACGAUGAAAAUCCUACCUGAUCUGAAUUCCAACCGGAAUCUGAGUUCAGACCGGAUA